AUUGAACGCUGGCGGUAUGCUUAACACAUGCAAGUCGAACGGUAACAGGCAAAGCUUGCUUUGCGCUGACGAGUGGCGGACGGGUGAGUAACGCGUGGGAAUCUACCUUAUAGUGGGGGAUAGCCCGGAGAAAUCCGGAUUAAUACCGCAUAAGCCCUAAGGGGGAAAGCCGGGGAUCUUCGGACCUGGCGCUAUUAGAUGAGCCCGCGUUAGAUUAGCUAGUUGGUGGGGUAAAGGCCUACCAAGGCGACGAUCUAUAGCUGGUCUGAGAGGACGAUCAGCCACACUGGGACUGAGACACGGCCCAGACUCCUACGGGAGGCAGCAGUGGGGAAUAUUGCACAAUGGGCGCAAGCCUGAUGCAGCAAUACCGCGUGUGUGAAGAAGGCCUGCGGGUUGUAAAGCACUUUCAAUCGUGAAGAAAUGUUC
rnacentral:rRNA from 1 species